rnacentral:rRNA from 1 species
AUUGAACGCUGGCGGAAUGCCUUACACAUGCAAGUCGAACGGCAGCACGGACUUCGGUCUGGUGGCGAGUGGCGAACGGGUGAGUAAUGUAUCGGAACGUGCCCAGUCGUGGGGGAUAACAUAGUGAAAAUUACGCUAAUACCGCAUACGAUCUAUGGAUGAAAGCGGGGGAUCGCAAGACCUCGCGCGAUUGGAGCGGCCGAUAUCAGAUUAGGUAGUUGGUGGGGUAAAGGCCCACCAAGCCAACGAUCUGUAGCUGGUCUGAGAGGACGACCAGCCACACUGGAACUGAGACACGGUCCAGACUCCUACGGGAGGCAGCAGUGGGGAAUUUUGGACAAUGGGCGAAAGCCUGAUCCAGCCAUUCCGCGUGCAGGAUGAAGGCCCUCGGGUUGUAAACUGCUUUUGUACAGAACGAAAAGGUUUCUACUAAUACUAGGAGCUCAUGACGGUACUGUAAGAAUAAGCACCGGCUAACUACGUGCCAGCCGCCGCUGUAA